UUAUUUUGUAAGACCCAAAUUCAUGCCAUUUUUUCUUUUACGAUUAAGCCAUGAGGAUUUCAUUAAGCACAAACGAAGAUGUAAAAUGCAUUACAAGAAGCAAAAGAAACAAAAGAAAUAGAUUUAUGUAAUUUUUGUACAGAUUUUUCAUCAACCUCUUUUUUUUAAUAAGCGGACUAUUUUAUUGAAAUUGAAGAUAUUAGACAUACAAAAAG
rnacentral:misc_RNA from 1 species